ACACCAAAUGCGUAAGGCAGCUUGCUAGAACAGUUCUGACACUCAGGGACGAAAGCGUGGGGAGCGAUACGGAUUAGAUACCCCCGUAGUCC
rnacentral:rRNA from 1 species